rnacentral:tRNA from 3 species
GGAGGGGUGGCAGAGUGGUUGAUUGCAGCGGUCUUGAAAACCGCCGGGCGCCUUGCGUCUCGAGGGUUCGAAUCCCUCCCCCUCCG